UACUGACCACAUCCACCUGUCUCAUGACUC
rnacentral:piRNA from 1 species